UACAAAUACUUGUUCCGGUUUUUGUCGUACUAUCAUGAAGUAGAUCGGUCUGUCUCCUAAUCAUUGUUCACGGCUUGAUCUUGGUCUUCUUGAAAUAUCUAGUAUUUCUCGUAUUGUUUAAAAUUUUGGCGUAAAUUUAUUCAGACGUAGAUACAUUUCUAUUAAAUUGUGCAUUCCAUCUAACAUUUUGCAGUUUUGCAAUAGUCUAAUUCUAAUUCUAAUUGUCUAAUUUCAAGUUAGUUAAGGUCUUGUUCAAGACUUUUGGUCGCACCAGAUGAGUUAUGUACGAGGUACUGUACUCAUAGAGUAAUUUCAGAUAAGGUACACCGUCUGUUCGUCACGUUAUCUUAUUUUAGGCCGGAUAGUGAGUUAGUUUUUAGGUUUAACUCAUAGAGUAAUUUCGGAUACGGUACACCGUCUGCUCGUCACGCUAUCUUAUUUUCGGCCGGAUAGAUUCGUGCAACUUCUUAGUCUAAUACCGAUCCUAAUCUUACUCUUAUAUCUACUAGUCUCAGGGUGUUUAACUAGUCUCUGCUACGCUCAAUAGAUCUAGAGUAUACUGGCUUAUUGUGAUUGCUAAAGUUCUCUUGGAGAGGUAACUAAUUCCUAAGUUAAAUUCAAAUCUCUCUGGUGCUGAAAUUACUAGUAAUUUCAGCACUUACAAAUAAGUGGGUUGUUAGUUAGAUGGAUCGUGAUUGGUUAAUAUUAAAUAUUUUAUAGAGACAGGAUAUCCAAUUUAUAACCAAUAAUAAAUAUAGUUUAUAUCUGGUUCCAAUAGGUUCGUGCAUUAAACUAUUUCCAAUCUUAAUUUUACUCUUAUAUCUCCUAGUCUCAAAAGAUCUAGUGUAUACUGGUUUUUGCGAGUUAGUUCUUGAAGUUUAUCAGAAAGAGAACAACUGAAGUCUAAGAUUUAUUCAAGUUGUUCUGGUGCUGAGACUACAAGUAGUUUCAGCACUUACAAAUAAUUGUCAAUCUUGGUGAUGGAAUAUGAUUGGUUAGUUAGUAAUACUUUUUAGAGAUAGUUUUAUCAAUUUUAUACUUGGUUUAUAAAUACUAGUUUAGAAUUUAUCAUUGGUCUGGUUCUAUUACCUCCGCAGAACUUGGUCCGUUCCAUUACCUCAUUGGUCUGUUCCAUUACCUCCGCAGAACCGCGCUGAACUGGUUCCAUUACCUUCGAGUUAUUACUGUGGCAUUUACCUGGAAAACACGCUUUAUUCACGCUCAUUUUUGGAUUUUGCUGAACAAAUAACUUUAGGAGACGUGACCAAAAUGAAGAUGUACACUAUAUUGGGCGGGUUCUUUUUCAAGUGUGAUCUAACUUUUUUCAUUCCCACGAACCAUCUUGUGAGCUUCACCAAACCGCAGCCUCCUCAUCUGAUGGCCAAAUACAGAUCAUCUAUUCUAAUGCAUCGGGGCAUCAAAAUCAAGGAAAACGAAGCAGGGACUAAGAAAGAACCUCUACCGGAGGACCAAAUUCUGAUGACAGUUUUUCCGCAACCACAGUACCAGUUUGAAGGUUUCUCACCAACGGAUUUUCUGACGUGUCGCACGAUGACCCCCUGCUGCUCUACUUUUACUUCUUGUCAUUUCACAUCUUGACUCGGAACUGAAACGUCGUUUUUCCGAAAAACUGGUGCAAACUGACAGAUUCCAGUUCAAAAACUGGACAGUUUCUGCAGGGAAGUUCAGCCGAACCAGCCAACAGUCCUUCAAAUCUGACUCAGAUGAUGAGCACAGUUGAUUAGCGUCUAGAUCCGGAAAUGAACUUGAUCCCAGCUAUGAAGACAUUCUGCCUGCAAUCAUCAAAACUGCCCCUGUACUCCAAAAAAGAAGAAAUAUUUGGGGAAAGAGCUAGAUUCAGUCUUUAUUCGAAUGAGUUAUUUGAACAUUUGACUGUAACUUUUUUUCUUAAAAUUAGUUUUAUCUAGUUGUUUUGGAACUUUUGCGUAAUCCCAACUUAAC